GACGAACGCUGGCGGCGUGCCUAAUACAUGCAAGUAGAACGCACAGUUUAUACCGUAGCUUGCUACACCAUAAACUGUGAGUUGCGAACGGGUGAGUAACGCGUAGGUAACCUGCCUGGUAGCGGGGGAUAACUAUUGGAAACGAUAGCUAAUACCGCAUAAUAUUGAUUAUUGCAUGAUAAUUGAUUGAAAGAUGCUAUUGCAUCACUACCAGAUGGACCUGCGUUGUAUUAGCUAGUAGGUGAGGUAACGGCUCACCUAGGCGACGAUACAUAGCCGACCUGAGAGGGUGAUCGGCCACACUGGGACUGAGACACGGCCCAGACUCCUACGGGAGGCAGCAGUAGGGAAUCUUCGGCAAUGGACGAAAGUCUGACCGAGCAACGCCGCGUGAGUGGAGAAGGUUUUCGGAUCGUAAAGCUCUGUUGUAAGAGAAGAACGGGUGUGAGAG
rnacentral:rRNA from 1 species